GUAAGAGACAAAUAUAUUUACUUGGACAGGCUGUUAAUCCUUAUAUAAAGUCAUGUUAACGUCUAGUGGCGUGUGAAGCGGUUGAAAUGUGUCAUUGAAGCAGUUUGAUACUAGCUUAUGUUAAUGUGCGUAACAUGCUACUGCUAGCUAACAUGCUACUGCUAGCUAACGAGCGGUAAACUCUAGUCAUUUAAUAGGCACAUUUCUCUCCGGUAGAAUAUCAAAUGAACAGCUAAAGUAAGUAUAGUAUGUUUCAAUGAAAUUUAAAUGCCCAAUGGUGGGUUAAAUAACGUUUUUUUAGAGCAAACGGUGGCCAGUUUUCUCACAAAAUGACAGCGCUACUGUCUGUGGUGGAGGAGGGGAGUGGCGGCGUAAUACGGUGUAGGUCAGGGGUUAGUUAGCAGUUGGGCGGUUACGGGGUUACACAAGUUAAAAAAUGGAUAAACUGAUAUCUAGAAUAGUGUGUACGUGGGUGUGACGGUAAACUGGUGUCGGUUAAACACGCGCGCCUGUCAUUGGACAAGUGAAACGGUGGCGGGUGGAUUAAAGUCUGGAGCCCACCACGAGUUUUUGUAGACCAGCAUUAGCCGCAAAAGCUGGGACAUUAGAAAUGCUGUGGUUAAGUGUCAGCUGUCAUCAGCAGGUCACUAAACUCUGCAUAUAGCCUCUGGUAGGCUUCUAGGCAUGGAUGGUUGAGUAGUUUUGAAGCUAAAUGUUAUAUUGAGCACGAAGAUUUUCAUAACUGUUUUGUCAUAGUGCAGGUCAUUGGGGAAAUUUAACUUUUUUUUAUUUUAUUAUAAUUUUGUUUGGAGGACAUUUUACUUUUUUUUUCUUGACCAUUUGGCUUGAUUUGAAGUUCACUUAACUUCUUGCACCUGUGAAAGCUAAACGGCUAGAUUUCUUUUCUUCAAGAUGCAGUUUCAAGAUGUCAUCAUGUUGCUGAAGGUGAAAUACCAGAGUACCAAAAAGUACAUCAGAUUACAGUCAGGUUUCACCUUUUUGGAUUUCAUCAAUGAAGUCAAAAACAAGUUUGGGCUUCCUGAUGACACUGAACUUGAUGUUUUUGAUGAAACCGACACAGCAGUGGAGGAAGACAUCUUUAUUGAACUGAUAGAGGCCAAUCCGGACUUAUGCCUGAAAGUACGUGACAGCAUUUCACAUGAAGCUGAAUCAAGACUCCCUGCUGCUGUUUGGAGCUGAAACAGCCUCCAAGAUGCUUGAGAAGUGGGACACAGUAUUCAGGCCCAAAGUUAUCAAAGAGGCCAAACACUUGACUCAGUCAACUGAGCUGUGCCGACUUCUGAAAGCUGCUGAGAAACUCACAGAGAACGAUGACACAAACUGGGACAGCGACGUGGCUUCUCUACUGCUCCUUCUCCAUCUCUUGCCACCCACAG
ensembl:lncRNA